GGGUUGUGAGGUUAAGCGACUAAGCGUACACGGUGGAUGCCCUGGCAGUCAGAGGCGAUGAAGGACGUGCUAAUCUGCGAAAAGCGUCGGUAAGGUGAUAUGAACCGUUAUAACCGGCGAUGUCCGAAUGGGGAAACCCAGUGCAAUUCGUUGCACUAUCGUUAACUGAAUACAUAGGUUAACGAGGCGAACCGGGGGAACUGAAACAUCUAAGUACCCCGAGGAAAAGAAAUCAACCGAGAUUCCCCCAGUAGCGGCGAGCGAACGGGGAGCAGCCCAGAGUCUGAAUCAGCUUGUGUGUUAGUGGAACGGUCUGGAAAGUCCGACGGUACAGGGUGAUAGUCCCGUACACCAAAAUGCACAGGCUGUGAACUCGAAGAGUAGGGCGGGACACGUGGUAUCCUGUCUGAAUAUGGGGGGACCAUCCUCCAAGGCUAAAUACUCCUGACUGACCGAUAGUGAACCAGUACCGUGAGGGAAAGGCGAAAAGAACCCCGGCGAGGGGAGUGAAAAAAGAACCUGAAACCGUGUACGUACAAGCAGUGGGAGCACCUUCGGGUGUGACUGCGUACCUUUUGUAUAAUGGGUCAGCGACUUAUAUUCUGUAGCAAGGUUAACCGUAUAGGGGAGCCGCAGGGAAACCGAGUCUUAACUGGGCGUUAAGUUGCAGGGUAUAGACCCGAAACCCGGUGAUCUAGCCAUGGGCAGGUUGAAGGUUGGGUAACACUAACUGGAGGACCGAACCGACUAAUGUUGAAAAAUUAGCGGAUGACUUGUGGCUGGGGGUGAAAGGCCAAUCAAACCGGGAGAUAGCUGGUUCUCCCCGAAAGCUAUUUAGGUAGCGCCUCGUGAAUUCAUCUUCGGGGGUAGAGCACUGUUUCGGCUAGGGGGUCAUCCCGACUUACCAACCCGAUGCAAACUACGAAUACCGAAGAAUGUUAUCACGGGAGACACACGGCGGGUGCUAACGUCCGUCGUGAAGAGGGAAACAACCCAGACCGCCAGCUAAGGUCCCAAAGUCAUGGUUAAGUGGGAAACGAUGUGGGAAGGCACAGACAGCCAGGAUGUUGGCUUAGAAGCAGCCAUCAUUUAAAGAAAGCGUAAUAGCUCACUGGUCGAGUCGGCCUGCGCGGAAGAUGUAACGGGGCUAAACCAUGCACCGAAGCUGCGGCAGCGACACUAUGUGUUGUUGGGUAGGGGAGCGUUCUGUAAGCCUGCGAAGGUGUGCUGUGAGGCAUGCUGGAGGUAUCAGAAGUGCGAAUGCUGACAUAAGUAACGAUAAAGCGGGUGAAAAGCCCGCUCGCCGGAAGACCAAGGGUUCCUGUCCAACGUUAAUCGGGGCAGGGUGAGUCGACCCCUAAGGCGAGGCCGAAAGGCGUAGUCGAUGGGAAACAGGUUAAUAUUCCUGUACUUGGUGUUACUGCGAAGGGGGGACGGAGAAGGCUAUGUUAGCCGGGCGACGGUUGUCCCGGUUUAAGCAUGUAGGCUGGUUGUCCAGGCAAAUCCGGAUAAUCAAGGCUGAGGUGUGAUGACGAGGUACUACGGUGCUGAAGUAACAAAUGCCCUGCUUCCAGGAAAAGCCUCUAAGCAUCAGGUAACAUCAAAUCGUACCCCAAACCGACACAGGUGGUCAGGUAGAGAAUACCAAGGCGCUUGAGAGAACUCGGGUGAAGGAACUAGGCAAAAUGGUGCCGUAACUUCGGGAGAAGGCACGCUGGUGUGUAGGUGAAGUCCCUGCGGAUGGAGCUGAGACCAGUCGAAGAUACCAGCUGGCUGCAACUGUUUAUUAAAAACACAGCACUGUGCAAACACGAAAGUGGACGUAUACGGUGUGACGCCUGCCCGGUGCCGGAAGGUUAAUUGAUGGGGUUAUCCGUAAGGAGAAGCUCUUGAUCGAAGCCCCGGUAAACGGCGGCCGUAACUAUAACGGUCCUAAGGUAGCGAAAUUCCUUGUCGGGUAAGUUCCGACCUGCACGAAUGGCGUAAUGAUGGCCAGGCUGUCUCCACCCGAGACUCAGUGAAAUUGAACUCGCUGUGAAGAUGCAGUGUACCCGCGGCAAGACGGAAAGACCCCGUGAACCUUUACUAUAGCUUGACACUGAACAUUGAGCCUUGAUGUGUAGGAUAGGUGGGAGGCUUUGAAGCGUGGACGCCAGUCUGCGUGGAGCCAACCUUGAAAUACCACCCUUUAAUGUUUGAUGUUCUAACGUUGGCCCCUUACCGGGGUUGCGGACAGUGUCUGGUGGGUAGUUUGACUGGGGCGGUCUCCUCCCAAAGCGUAACGGAGGAGCACGAAGGUUAGCUAAUCCUGGUCGGACAUCAGGAGGUUAGUGCAAUGGCAUAAGCUAGCUUGACUGCGAGCGUGACGGCGCGAGCAGGUGCGAAAGCAGGUCAUAGUGAUCCGGUGGUUCUGAAUGGAAGGGCCAUCGCUCAACGGAUAAAAGGUACUCCGGGGAUAACAGGCUGAUACCGCCCAAGAGUUCAUAUCGACGGCGGUGUUUGGCACCUCGAUGUCGGCUCAUCACAUCCUGGGGCUGAAGUAGGUCCCAAGGGUAUGGCUGUUCGCCAUUUAAAGUGGUACGCGAGCUGGGUUUAGAACGUCGUGAGACAGUUCGGUCCCUAUCUGCCGUGGGCGCUGGAGAAUUGAGGGGGGCUGCUCCUAGUACGAGAGGACCGGAGUGGACGCAUCACUGGUGUUCGGGUUGUCAUGCCAAUGGCACUGCCCGGUAGCUAAAUGCGGAAGAGAUAAGUGCUGAAAGCAUCUAAGCACGAAACUUGCCCCGAGAUGAGUUCUCCCUGAGACUUUAAGUCUCCUGAAGGAACGUUAAAGACGAUGACGUUGAUAGGCCGGGUGUGUAAGCGCAGCGAUGCGUUGAGCUAACCGGUACUAAUGAACCGUGAGGCUUAACCUUACAACGCCGAAG
rnacentral:rRNA from 1 species